AUAACAUCCGGAAACGGGUGCUAAUACCGCAUAGUUUCUUGAUCGCAUGAUCGGGAAGGAAAGACGGCCUUUGUGCUGUCGCUUAUGGAUGGACCCGCGGCGUAUUAGUUAGUUGGUGAGGUAACGGCUCACCAAGACGAUGAUACGUAGCCGACCUGAGAGGGUGAUCGGCCACAUUGGGACUGAGACACGGCCCAAACUCCUACGGGAGGCAGCAGUAGGGAAUCUUCCGCAAUGGACGAAAGUCUGACGGAGCAACGCCGCGUGAGUGAAGAAGGUUUUCGGGAAUCGUAAAACUCUGUUGUCAGAGAAGAACAAGUUGGAGAGUAACUGCUCCAGCCUUGACGGUAUCUGACCAGAAAGCCACGGCUAACUACGUGCCAGCAGCAGC
rnacentral:rRNA from 1 species